rnacentral:rRNA from 2 species
AUACCGGCAGCCCGAGUGAUGGCCGCUAUUAUUGGGCCUAAAGCGUCCGUAGCCAGCCAGACAGGUCCGUCGGGAAAUCCAUCCGCUUAACGGAUGGGCGUCCGGCGGAAACCAGUUGGCUUGGGGCCGGAAGACCUGAGGGGUACGUCCGGGGUAGGAGUGAAAUCCCGUAAUCCUGGACGGACCACCGGUGGCGGAAGCGCCUCAGGAAGACGGACCCGACGGUGAGGGACGAAAGCGAGGGUCACGAACCGGAUUAGAUACCCGGGUAGUCCUAGCUGUAAACGAUGCUCGCUAGGUGUGGCGCUGGCUACGAGCCAGCGCUGUGCCGUAGGGAAGCCGAGAAGCGAGCCGCCUGGGAAGUACGUCCGCAAGGAUGAA